rnacentral:rRNA from 1 species
CCCUUAGAUGUUCUAGGCCGCACGCGUGCUACACUGAGUGGAUCAGCGGGUCAGGUUGCGCGAAAGCGUUUCCUAAUCUUUAAAUCCGCUCGUGAUGGGGAUUGACGGUUGCAAUUUUCUGUCAUGAACGAGGAAUACCUUGUAAGCGCGGGUCAUCAUCCCGCGCUGAAUACGUCCCUGCCCUUUGUACACACCGUCCGUCGCUCCUACCGAUUGAGUGGUCCGGUGAGGCUUUGGGAUCUGAGCGGAAAGAGCGUUUCGCUGUUUCUGCUCGGAAAACUCAGUCGAACCUUAUCAUUUAGAGGAAGGAGAAGUCGUAACA